UGUCGUCAGCUCGUGUUGUGAAAUGUUGGGUUAAGUCCCGCAACGAGCGCAACCCUUAUCCUUUGUUGCCAGCGGUCCGGCCGGGAACUCAAAGGAGACUGCCAGUGAUAAACUGGAGGAAGGUGGGGAUGACGUCAAGUCAUCAUGGCCCUUACGACCAGGGCUACACACGUGCUACAAUGGCGCAUACAAAGAGAAGCGACCUCGCGAGAGCAAGCGGACCUCAUAAAGUGCGUCGUAGUCCGGAUUGGAGUCUGCAACUCGACUCCAUGAAGUCGGAAUCGCUAGUAAUCGUGGAUCAGAAUGCCACGGUGAAUACGUUCCCGGGCCUUGUACACACCGCCCGUCACACCAUGGGAGUGGGUUGCAAAAGAAGUAGGUAGCUUAACCUUCGGGAGGGCGCUUACCACUUUGUGAUUCAUGACU
rnacentral:rRNA from 1 species